rfam:Ictidomys tridecemlineatus contig119132, whole genome shotgun sequence.
UAGGACACAGUGUAAAGGUAGCAUGAAGAAUUUUGAAUUCUUAGGAUUAGGUUCAAGUCCUAUGGUUCUAA